rnacentral:rRNA from 1 species
UACAGAGGUCCCAAGCGUUGUUCGGAUUCACUGGGCGUAAAGGGUGCGUAGGCGGUCGGAUAAGUCUGAUGUGAAAUCUUCGAGCUCAACUCGGAAACUGCAUCGGAAACUAUUCGGCUAGAGGAUUGGAGGGGAGACUGGAAUUCUCGGUGUAGCAGUGAAAUGCGUAGAUAUCGAGAGGAACACCAGUGGCGAAGGCGAGUCUCUGGACAAUUCCUGACGUGAGGCACGAAAGCUAGGGGAGCAAACAGG